rnacentral:misc_RNA from 1 species
UACCGAGUCGUCGACACGAGUUGUUGCUGGUCCUCAAACAGGGGACAUGUGCACGCUCUGUUUACACAUCCACUCACACCUGUGCACCCUCUGUAGUUCUAUGGUCUGGGGGGCCCUGCCUCCCUUCUGUGGUUCUGCAUAUUUACACACGCAAUGUAACAAAGUCUUAUGGAAUGCGCAUCGCGUUUAACGCAAUACAAUACAACUUUCAGCAACGGAUCUCUUGGCUCUCGCAUCGAUGAAGAACGCAGCGAAAUGCGAUAAGUAAUGUGAAUUGCAGAAUUCAGUGAAUCAUCGAAUCUUUGAACGCACCUUGCGCUCCCCGGUAUUCCAGGGAGCACACCUGUUCGAGUGUCGUGAAAUUCUCAAGCUUAUAGAUGGUUUUUCAUCUUAGGCUUGGUUAUUGGGCUUUGCCGUGCCCCUCUUUAUUGAGGGAACGGCUGGCCUUAAAAGCAUUAGCUGACUCUUGUGUAGGAUUGGUUCUACUCAGCGUGAUAAUAAUUCUGACCGCCGAGGACAUCUUUCGGGAUGGCCAAUUCUUGCUUGGGUUGCUUCAAACUCUGGUUUGCAGAUCUCUAUAUCUGUUCCACUAUCAAGUUUG